GGGCGGAUGCCGCCGAGUCGCCCUCCGGGGCGAGCCGGGGACCCACCGCACCACUGGGGUGAAUCCCGCGGGGCCGGACACCGUCCGCCCGCAGGUAGGGCUGCUUCCCGCCCGAACCCGUCAGCUGACCCGGUAGGCGGCCAUCGGGAGAACGG
rnacentral:sRNA from 2 species